rnacentral:rRNA from 1 species
GACAGGGGGUGCAAACGUUGUUCGGAAUUACUGGGCGUAAAGCGUGUGUAGGCGGUCUCGUAAGUCGGGUGUGAAAUCCCAGGGCUCAACCCUGGAAGUGCACUCGAAACUGCAAGGCUAGAGUACCGGAGAGGUUGGUGGAAUUCUCGGUGUAGAGGUGAAAUUCGUAGAUAUCGAGAGGAACACCGGUGGCGAAGGCGGCCAACUGGACGAGUACUGACGCUGAGACACGAAAGCGUGGGGAGCAAACAGG